rnacentral:rRNA from 1 species
GAUGAACGCUGGCGGCGCGCCUAACACAUGCAAGUCGAACGGCACCUGCCUUCGGGCAGAAGCGAGUGGCGAACGGCUGAGUAACACGUGGAGAACCUGCCCCCUCCCCCGGGAUAGCCGCCCGAAAGGACGGGUAAUACCGGAUACCCCGGGGUGCCGCAUGGCACCCCGGCUAAAGCCCCGACGGGAGGGGAUGGCUCCGCGGCCCAUCAGGUAGACGGCGGGGUGACGGCCCACCGUGCCGACAACGGGUAGCCGGGUUGAGAGACCGACCGGCCAGAUUGGGACUGAGACACGGCCCAGACUCCUACGGGAGGCAGCAGUGGGGAAUCUUGCGCAAUGGGGGGAACCCUGACGCAGCGACGCCGCGUGCGGGACGGAGACCUUCGGGUCGUAAACCGCUUUCAGCAGGGAAGGGUCAAGACU